UACGGAGGGUGCAAGCGUUAUCCGGAUUUACUGGGUUUAAAGGGUGUGUAGGCGGACUUUUAAGUCAGGGGUGAAAUCUCUGGGCUCAACCCAGAAACUGCCUCUGAUACUAUUAGUCUUGAAUCUUGUUGAGGUGGGCGGAACGGGUCAUGUAGCGGUGAAAUGCAUAGAUAUGACCCGGAACACCGAUUGCGAAGGCAGCCCGCUAAGCAAGCAUUGACGCUGAGGCACGAAAGCGUGGGGAUCAAACAGG
rnacentral:rRNA from 1 species